AACGCUAGCUACAGGCUUAACACAUGCAAGUCGAGGGGCAGCAUGGUCUUAGCUUGCUAAGGCCGAUGGCGACCGGCGCACGGGUGAGUAACACGUAUCCAACCUGCCGUCUACUCUUGGACAGCCUUCUGAAAGGAAGAUUAAUACAAGAUGGCAUCAUGAGUCCGCAUGUUCACAUGAUUAAAGGUAUUCCGGUAGACGAUGGGGAUGCGUUCCAUUAGAUAGUAGGCGGGGUAACGGCCCACCUAGUCUUCGAUGGAUAGGGGUUCUGAGAGGAAGGUCCCCCACAUUGGAACUGAGACACGGUCCAAACUCCUACGGGAGGCAGCAGUGAGGAAUAUUGGUCAAUGGGCGCAGGCCUGAACCAGCCAAGUAGCGUGAAGGAUGACUGCCCUAUGGGUUGUAAACUUCUUUUAUAAAGGAAUAAAGUCGGGUAUGGAUACCCGUUUGCAUGUACUUUAUGAAUAAGGAUCGGCUAACUCCGUGCCAGCAGCCGCGGUAAUACGGAGGAUCCGAGCGUUAUCCGGAUUUAUUGGGUUUAAAGGGAGCGUAGAUGGAUGUUUAAGUUAGUUGUGAAAGUUUGCGGCUCAACCGUAAAAUUGCAGUUGAUACUGGAUAUCUUGAGUGCAGUUGAGGCAGGCGGAAUUCGUGGUGUAGCGGUGAAAUGCUUAGAUAUCACGAAGAACUCCGAUUGCGAAGGCAGCCUGCUAAGCUGCAACUGACAUUGAGGCUCGAAAGUGUGGGUAUCAAACAGGAUUAGAUACCCUGGUAGUCCACACGGUAAACGAUGAAUACUCGCUGUUUGCGAUAUACGGCAAGCGGCCAAGCGAAAGCGUUAAGUAUUCCACCUGGGGAGUACGCCGGCAACGGUGAAACUCAAAGGAAUUGACGGGGGCCCGCACAAGCGGAGGAACAUGUGGUUUAAUUCGAUGAUACGCGAGGAACCUUACCCGGGCUUAAAUUGCAGAUGAAUUACGGUGAAAGCCGUAAGCCGCAAGGCAUCUGUGAAGGUGCUGCAUGGUUGUCGUCAGCUCGUGCCGUGAGGUGUCGGCUUAAGUGCCAUAACGAGCGCAACCCUUGUUGUCAGUUACUAACAGGUUCCGCUGAGGACUCUGACAAGACUGCCAUCGUAAGAUGUGAGGAAGGUGGGGAUGACGUCAAAUCAGCACGGCCCUUACGUCCGGGGCUACACACGUGUUACAAUGGGGGGUACAGAGGGCCGCUACCACGCGAGUGGAUGCCAAUCCCAAAAACCUCUCUCAGUUCGGACUGGAGUCUGCAACCCGACUCCACGAAGCUGGAUUCGCUAGUAAUCGCGCAUCAGCCACGGCGCGGUGAAUACGUUCCCGGGCCUUGUACACACCGCCCGUCAAGCCAUGGGAGCCGGGGGUACCUGAAGUGCGUAACCGCGAGGAGCGCCCUAGGGUAAAACUGGUGACUGGGGCUAA
rnacentral:rRNA from 1 species